AGCAGCCGCGGUAAUUCCAGCUCCAAUAGCGUAUAUUAAAGUUGUUGCAGUUAAAAAGCUCGUAGUUGAACUUCGGGGUUUACUCAUUGGUCAGGCUUAAUUGUCUGUACUGGUGAGAUGAAUCUCUACCUUCUGAGGAACUUUCAUGCCAUUUAUUUGGUGUGAUUGGAAAUCAGGACUGUUACUUUGAAAAAAUUAGAGUGUUUAAAGCAGGCCAACGUCUGAAUACAUUAGCAUGGAAUAAUGAAAUAGGACGGAUUGAUUCUAUUUCGUUGGUUUCUAGGGUCACCGUAAUGAUUAAUAGGGAUAGUUGGGGGCAUUAGUAUUCAAUUGUCAGAGGUGAAAUUCUUGGAUUUAUUGAAGACUAACUACUGCGAAAGCAUUUGCCAAGGAUGUUUUCUAUUAAUCAAAGAACGAAAGUUAGGGGAUCGAAGACGAUCAGAUACCGUCGUAGUCUUAACCAUAAACUAUGCCGACUAGGGAUCGGAUGAUGUUAAUUUUUUAAUGUACUCAUUCGGUC
rnacentral:rRNA from 1 species